rnacentral:rRNA from 1 species
AACGAACGCUGGCGGCAUGCCUAACACAUGCAAGUCGAACGAGACCUUCGGGUCUAGUGGCGCACGGGUGCGUAACGCGUGGGAACCUGCCCUUAGGUUCGGAAUAACUCCCCGAAAGGGGUGCUAAUACCGGGUAAUGUCUUCGGACCAAAGAUUUAUCGCCUUUGGAUGGGCCCGCGUUGGAUUAGCUAGUUGGUAGGGUAAAAGCCUACCAAGGCGACGAUCCAUAGCUGGUCUGAGAGGAUGAUCAGCCACACUGGGACUGAGACACGGCCCAGACUCCUACGGGAGGCAGCAGUGGGGAAUAUUGGACAAUGGGCGAAAGCCUGAUCCAGCAAUGCCGCGUGAGUGAUGAAGGCCUUAGGGUUGUAAAGCUCUUUUACCCGGGAUGAUAAUGACAGUACCGGGAGAAUAAGCUCCGGCUAACUCCGU